rnacentral:rRNA from 1 species
UACGAAGGGGGCUAGCGUUGUUCGGAAUCACUGGGCGUAAAGCGCACGUAGGCGGAUGGUUAAGUCAGAGGUGAAAUCCCGGAGCUCAACUUCGGAACUGCCUUUGAUACUGGCUAUCUUGAGUCUGGAAGAGGUUGGUGGAACUGCGAGUGUAGAGGUGAAAUUCGUAGAUAUUCGCAAGAACACCAGUGGCGAAGGCGGCCAACUGGUCCAGUACUGACGCUGAGGUGAGAAAGCGUGGGGAGCAAACAGG